AGUAACGACUCUCAGCAACGGAUAUCUUGGCUCUUGCAACGAUGAAGAACGAAGCGAAAUGCGAUACCUAGUGUGAAUUGCAGAAUUCCGAGAAUCAUUGAGUCUUUGAACGAAAGUUGCGCCCGAGGCUUGUCCCGAGGGCAUGCCUGCCUGAAGCGUCACC
rnacentral:rRNA from 1 species